UUAAGGAGUUUAAUAUACCUGGAGCUCUCUCACUACAAGAAAAUUAGUUUAUAACCACGCUUUUGUUAUGGCGUUUUUUCAAAAAACGUCGUUUUAAAGGUUUUCAAAAUAUUUUUGUAAAUAACUCAUUUUAAAAAACACGUGUGUUUUGGUGUACGAACAUAUUUUUCCUUUUAAGACCCACGCGUUUUUCAUUCUUCUAUUCUAUUUCACGUAGCAAUUGAUAGAUCUAGGUUUUCUAUCUCUUCAUCACUCCUCUUUCUUAUGUUGAAAGGUCACUGGAUCGAGCUUCGUAGGCUCCGAUUCACGAUCUGGUUCUCUCCAUCUUGGCUCAAAGCUCUCGAUCAGUCCGAUUUGAAGAUUAAUUUUGGUUAGUCUAUUGAGGCUAAUCUCUAUUGCGUUUGUGUACAGAGUCACAGAACCACCAUCACAACUAUACUGUGUCAAUCUUUGCAGCGAUGUCAAUCUUUGCAUUUGUGCUUGAACAGGUUUGGCUAGAACAGAACUGUGUUGUGUAUAGUCACAAUUGAGGCAAGGUUUUGGAGGCAGUUUCAAUUCAAGACUGCUAUGUAGUUCCAAAUCCCCCCCUCCUUUAGUUUCUUGGAGGAAAUCAUCCUUGGGAGUGGUCAAAACUUUGUAUUAGAGGUUAAGAAUCAUUGAUUAGAGGAAACGAAAACCUGUUGAGAAAUGUUAACAAUCCUUUCUACGUUUGUUUUGAUGUUUCAAAGAUAUGUUGUUGCUGAGGACACUUAAGUUUAACUGAAGUUUAAUAUCUUCCAAUGUAAUAGUUUUUAUUUGUUAUUUUUUUAUAAUACUGGAAACUAGUUAUUAGACCAUGGUAUUUAUCAUUAAUGUGCAUAUCUUUGCUGGAGCUUUUUCAUAAUGGUAAUUUCUGUAGGGUUGUAACCCUUUAGGCAUUCGAGGUUGAAGUUGGUAGUAAUGAUAAAGUGUUCCUGUUAAAGUUUGUGAAUUACUAGAUGCUAUUUCUGCGUAUGGUAUGAUCAAUUUUAUAUAAGAUCACAACUUAUCAUUGAAUAGGAUUGAAGGUUGGUGUAGUUAACAAUAAAGUGUUCCUAUUAAGGUUUGUGAACAACUAGAUGCUGUUUCUGCCUAUGGCGGAGCCAAGAUUUGAACACCUCAUUCUUAUAUUAGCUGCGAUAACAAAUGUGGAAUGGGAGCAUGUAGAUAUCUUUGAAAAUGAGGGUGAUGGGUGAUUCCAGUAUUGAAAGAAAAAUAUUUAUUUACUUAAAUAAGGCCCUCGCUCUCUUCGUUUUAAGGUACAAAUUGGAUACUUAUCUUCCAAUGUUGGGAGCUCAACAGAGUUAAAGGUCGCUCUAAGAAUGAGAUUUAGGAGGUUGAAAAUGGUUUGAAUGACACUACAACAAGCUGCAGCCCUAUCUGUUCUGACUUUAGCUGCUCUGGCUGUGGCUCGUACUGCAGCCUUGCUUGUGUUGACCUGGCCUGGUCUUGCUGCAGCUGGGGCUGCUGCGGCUGGGAAUGCUGCCUUGGCUGCAGUGGCUGGCUUUGGCUUAUGCUUUGUGUGAUCUGGCUUAUCAAAUCUGAAUUGGUGCUUGGUUGGUUGCCCCUAUAUGGUUUGCAGUUUUAGAUUGGAAUUUGUAAAACACAGGGUCACUUCAGAAUGUUGAAGCAUGUCAUGGUUAGUUCAUUU